CGCGCAAUCUCCGGCGGAGACGACGGCGAGCGCGAAACCAGUUUUCGUCCGUGCCGAUACUCAGAAUACGGCCGCCGUUCCCCCGUCGACGUUGCCCAGCGCGAUAGGUGUACACUUACCCGCGCAAGGCCGUUUUAUUUGCGAGCGUUCCUCCUCCCCUACUUUCCUCUCCGGCGAGAACAUUAUCAUAUUAGCCGCGUUUUGCCGGCUGUUCGCCCGUGGCGGUUAUUCAAUUUACGGUUAUACACGAUACUAUUACGGUCACCGAAUCGCCGAAACGUAAAUAUUUUGUAAAUUAUGUUGUUGCGUUUUUUUUUUUUUGAUAACGCUAUCACAAUCGACGCGGGCGAACGCCGUUAUAGAUAUUAAAGAACGGAUAGGCCAUGGCUAUACCCAACAUAAUAAAGGGAAAUGUGCCAGAAUGGGGAAACCUUUUCUCUCUCUCUCACUCUCUCUCUCUCUCGAAAGACCGUUUUUAUCAACGCCUGUCAUUCUGGCAGAGGAAUUAUCACAAAAUAUAUUUUGUGUGAUUAUUAUCAUUGCGAAAAUCAUUGCGCUAGUGACAAUUAUACCUUUAGUAAUAAAACAGCAAUCUCAUUAACACCACGGCCCCGACACGAAACCUAAAUGCCGUCUGAAAAAUCUAACUACAAAUCUGGCCUAACCUAACCCUACAAUAAGUUCAACAGUUCGAAAUGAGCAGAUUUCGUCCGCGAACCAUACGCGCGGAAGAGCGGACCGUAAUAUGUACACGAAAAGUUUGUCCAUUGUAUCUCCGACUGGGCACGCGUAUAGGCACGCGAAAAUAAUCCUAGAGUGUACGCCUAUAUCAUACA